GAUCCUAGCUCAGGAUGAACGCUAGCUACAGGCUUAACACAUGCAAGUCGAGGGGAAACGAUAUUGGAAGCUUGCUUCCGAUAGGCGUCGACCGGCGCACGGGUGAGUAACGCGUAUCCAACCUGCCCAUCACUUGGGAAUAACCUUGCGAAAGUAAGACUAAUGCCCAAUGACAUUUAUAGAAGGCAUCUGAAAUGAAUUAAAGAUUUAUCGGUGAUGGAUGGGGAUGCGU
rnacentral:rRNA from 1 species